rnacentral:tRNA from 1 species
GGGGAUGUGGCUCAGCGGUAGAGCUCUUGCCUAGCACGUGAGAGGCCCUGGGUUUGAAUCUCAGCACCACA